CGAGCGCAACCCUUGUCCUUAGUUACCAGCACGUUAUGGUGGGCACUCUAAGGAGGACUGCCGGUGACAAACCGGAGGAAGUGGGGAUGACGUCAAGUCAUCAUGGCCCUUACGGCCUGGGCUACACACGUGCUACAAUGGUCGGUACAAAGGGUUGCCAAGCCGCGAGGUGGAGCUAAUCCCAUAAAACCGAUCGUAGUCCGGAUCGCAGUCUGCAACUCGACUGCGUGAAGUCGGAAUCGCUAGUAAUCGUGAAUCAGAAUGUCACGGUGAAUACGUUCCCGGGCCUU
rnacentral:rRNA from 1 species